CCGCGGGGCGGGACACCCUGUGAGGCGGCCGCCAAUCCGCGCCCCUCGCGUCACGGAGCGACAGCAGGAUGCGCCAAUGGGAGACCAGUAUUGAGCGGCAGCGGAGAGCCGGGCCCGCCUCCUGCUCUCGGCGGCGUAGAGUGACAAGCUGCCCAAUCGGAAGCGUGCGCCCGGGUGAGGCGGGUCGAUAUGCGGCACCGCUGGCCUAUAGGCUUCCUCUGGAGCGAGAUUGACAAGACAACCGCCCAAUGACCGAGAGAGUUCGCCGGGUGGGGCGGGAGAGGGCGCGGUGAUUGACAGUUGGGUAUCUAUGGCAACGCGGGGGCCGAAGGGAAGAUCCGCAGUAGGCUCGGCUGGGCCGGACCGCGCGGAGGGGCUCAUUUGAAUAUGAUUUGCAUAUUCAGAUAGUGUGCAUAGAGACGUGGGGCGGGCCUGCCACGCACCAUGGCGAGCCUGAACGCACCGUAUAGAGCAUCUCGUUCCACCCCGUCCACUAGCCCAGGCUGCUCCAAGCCCCGUCCAGCUUGGCCUUGGACCCUUGCCGAGAUCCAGGAGCAGCCACAGCCUCUCCGGGUACCCUGUGCCAGGGCCUCACCAUCCUCACGAGGAAGAACUUCCUCCUAAAAUCUUAAAAUCCUCAGCUCUCCUUUACAUCCUAACAUAAUUCCAGUGUGGAUACAACCCUGUUCUUGAAACCUUGACGCCACGUUUAUCAACAAGCGCAGCAGGAAAUGCCAAGUUGGCAGAAAAAUUGAGGCAACCAUAAAGAGGUUGAGGCAACAACCAACAGGAUGAAAAUUCAAAAGGAAAACACAGAUUCCCAGACUACAGGAUGUCAUGACAGCUCCCGUUGUAAUGCGAUGGAGAUUCCCUUGUGGAAUGUUGUUGUCUGACACACCCAGAGUACACCAAGAGUAGAACUGCAGCCCGGUGACCCAGGGUGUUCCUCACCUGCCCCGGGGUAAUCCCAGCUCACCACAAUCCUCAGACAUUAAUUCGAUACCUGAAGGAUCAGCGAUCGACAUUCCACAAAGGGUCAGUUCUACAUGAAGCAAUCCCAGAAGGAGGAGGAGAGCCAGAGACACCAAGUAAGGCAAACUGAACAUGAGACAUCCAGUGGAGGCUGCUGCACCCAUCCUUGGGCACAUUUUCAAGCCAAGAUGAGCAGAGCCAAGAAAAUCAGCUCUGCUGUCACAGGAUAUCUGUACAACCUCUCCUGGCUGCACCGCACAAAGGGACCUGGAGGUCACCCUUUGGAUCACCAGGAUAUGUUUCCCUGAGGCCUCCUGGGACAAAACAAGGAAGACACGGAGAAUCACCAUAAGUGCUUUGCUUUUUGACUCAGUGGAUCACUCACAUUUUGGUGUGAGAUCCUCUCCUCCAGGAGUGUAGAAAGAGAAAGCUACAGCCAAGAAGAUGGUUGAGAAAUGGGAGGGAACAGACCCAAACCCAACAGCAUCAUGUACCAAGGCCUCUUCCAGCAGAACCUUCCA